GAUGAACGCUGGCGGCGUGCCUAAUACAUGCAAGUCGAGCGAAUGGAUUAAGAGCUUGCUCUUAUGAAGUUGGCGGCGGACGGGUGAGUAACACGUGGGUAACCUGCCCAUAAGACUGGGAUAACUCCGGGAAACCGGGGCUAAUACCGGAUAACAUUUUGAACCGCAUGGUUCGAAAUUGAAAGGCGGCUUCGGCUGUCACUUAUGGAUGGACCCGCGUCGCAUUAGCUAGUUGGUGAGGUAACGGCUCACCAAGGCAACGAUGCGUAGCCGACCUGAGAGGGUGAGCGGCCACACUGGGACUGAGACACGGCCCAGGCUCCUACGGGAGGCAGCAGUAGGGAAUCUUCCGCAAUGGACGAAAGUCUGACGGAGCAACGCCGCGUGAGUGAUGAAGGCUUUCGGGUCGUAAAACUCUGUUGUUAGGGAAGAACAAGUGCUAGUUGAAUAAGCUGACACCUUGACGGUACCUAACCAGAAAGCCACGGCUAACUACGUGCCAGCCGCCGCAGUAA
rnacentral:rRNA from 1 species